UACGGGGGGAGCAAGCGUUGUUCGGAUUUACUGGGCGUAAAGGGCGCGUAGGCGGUCAGCACAAGUCCGCUGUGAAAUCUCGAGGCUCAACUUCGAGCUGUCGGUGGAAACCGUAAAGCUAGAGUCCGGAAGAGGAGAGUGGAAUUCCUGGUGUAGCGGUGAAAUGCGUAGAUAUCGGGAGGAACACCGGUGGCGAAGGCGGCCCCCUGGUUGGAUACUGACGGCUGAGGCGCGAAAGCGUGGGGAGCAAACAGG
rnacentral:rRNA from 1 species